rnacentral:rRNA from 1 species
AGCAGCCGCGGUAAUUCCAGCUCCAGUAGCGUAUAUUAAAGUUGUUGCAGUUAAAAGCUCGUAGUUGAAUUUCGGGAUCAAUACGUCGGUCGUGCUUCGGUACGUACUGGCGUCAUUGAUUUCUCCCUUCUGACGAACCAUGAUGUCAUUAACUUGGUGUCAUGGGAAAUCAGGACUGUUACUUUGAAAAAUUAGAGUGUUUAAAGCAGGCUCACGCUUGAAUACAUUAGCAUGGAAUAAUGAAAUAGGACGUUUGAUUCUAUUUUGUUGGUUUCUAGGAUCGACGUAAUGAUUAAUAGGGAUAGUUGGGGGCAUUAGUAUUCAAUUGUCAGAGGUGAAAUUCUUGGAUUUAUUGAAGACUAACUACUGCGAAAGCAUUUGCCAAGGAUGUUUUCAUUAAUCAAGAACGAAAGUUAGGGGAUCGAAGACGAUCAGAUACCGUCGUAGUCUUAACCAUAAACUAUGCCGACUAGGGAUCGGAUGAUGUUAAUUUUUUAAUGACUCAUUCGGCGCCUUACGG